UCCCGUGUGGCUCAGUUGGUAGAGCAUGGUGUUUGCAACGCCAGGGUUGUGGGUUUGAUUCACACGGGGGAC
rnacentral:tRNA from 1 species